rnacentral:rRNA from 1 species
CCUACGGGAGGCAGCAGUGGGGAAUAUUGCGCAAUGGGGGAAACCCUGACGCAGCGACGCCGCGUGAGGGAUGAAGGUUUUCGGAUCGUAAACCUCUGUCAGCAGGGAAGAAAAUGACAGUACCUAACUAAUAAGCACCGGCUAACUCCGUGCCAGCAGCCGCGGUAAUACGGAGGGGGCAAGCGUUACGCGGAUUUACGGGGCGGAAGGGGAGCGUAGACGGCAGAGCAAGUCAGAAGUGAAAUCCCAUGGCUUAACCAUGGAACUGCUUUGGAAACUGUGCAGCUAGAGUGCGGGAGAGGUAAGUGGAAUUCCUGGUGUAGGGGUGAAAUCCGUAGAGAUUAGGAGGAACACCAGUGGCGAAGGCGACUUACUGGAACAUAACUGACGUUGAGGCGCGAAAGCGUGGGGAGCAAACAGGAUUAGAUACCCGUGUAGUC